AAGCCAGCACAGCAGGGGGCGGUAACGCUCCUGGACGCUGAGUAAAGCGGAAGUAGAAGAAGAAGAACGUCGUGAUGACAGUUUCCGGGUCGCCGUGGAUUAGAUGACGUUCCUGUGGGAGAGUUUCGGUGUUUUCCAGCUGCUGUUUGAUCAAACGGACCGACAGUCGGAAGUGUGUGUGCGCGCUGAGACCAUCCCCUGUCAGCUGACCUGCUGACUCCCUGAGUGCCAGUCGGGGGUUUCCCCUCCACACACACACACACACACACACUAACAGAGAUCUCAGUUCAUACACAUUUGGAUCCCUCAGACCGCCAUCAUGGUGUUAGCUGACCUCGGGAGGAAGAUCACCUCGGCGCUGAGGUCGCUCAGCAACGCCACCAUCAUCAAUGAGGAGGUAACCCCG